rnacentral:rRNA from 1 species
UACAGGGGGGGCAAGCGUUGUUCGGAAUUACUGGGCGUAAAGGCUCGUAGGCGGCCAACUAAGUCACACGUGAAAUCCCCAGGCUUAACCUGGGAACUGCGUGUGAUACUGGAUGACUUGAAUCCGGGAGAGGGAUGCGGAAUUCCAGGUGUAGCGGUGAAAUGCGUAGAUAUCUGGAGGAACACCGGUGGCGAAGGCGGCAUCCUGGACCGGUAUUGACGCUGAUGAGCGAAAGCCAGGGGAGCAAACGGG